UUAGAGCCUAAAACAUCGUUAAGGUUAUGGAAACAACAGUUUGUGCUGUACGUAUUUAACACUAAACUUUGAUGAUUUGUCGAAAAUCUGACGUACAAUGUAUUCUGAGGCACUGAUAUAAUCGUUUACAAACUGUCACAAGAAACUAUUGUUUAGAAGCCACUAAAAAAAUGAAAAAUAUUCGGACGUCAACUUCCGUGUACCAGCUUGCUUAGUAGCAGUCAAGGUUAUAAUGACGUCAUUGAAUUCUCGAACUGAGCCAGCUGAUAGCAUGAUCUUAGUAUUCGUCCGCCAUGAAAUGUGUUUACAUGAAUGCUGUGAAUGUAAUGUACCCAACAACAAGAAACACCACUGUGUAAUAAAGGAUGAACAUGCAUUUCUGCGUUAUUCGGGUAACCAUUGUAACAAAUAGUCAUCUUCUGUGCCGCAUGGCAUUUGGCAGUCUUUGUGACAUCAGAUAAGGGAGUUUGAAAAGCCUAACAAUACUAACUGCAAUGGGGGAAUCUCCAACUGAUAAAAGAGGUGUACAUACCGACAGACCUGAUAGAAAAUCUUUGGAAACCAUAAGUAAGAAUAUUCCAAACCCGAAGUAACAGUGAUGGGAUUGGGAGGAGAAGAAGGAGAAGGAGAAGAAGAAGAAGAAGAAGAAGGAGGAGGAACAACAAAGUGAAAGAAAAAUAAGUUCUUUUUCAUCGUAGAAAAAACAAUUGUAUACAUUAUAUUUUUUAUUUCCAAAGAUUAUGAUGUUUUAUUCAUAUAUUCAGUGCUAUAAACCAUGUUA